rnacentral:rRNA from 1 species
GACGGAGGAUGCAAGUGUUAUCCGGAAUCACUGGGCGUAAAGCGCCUGUAGGUGGUUUAAUAAGUCAACUGUUAAAUCUUGAGGCUCAACCUCAAAAUCGCAGUCGAAACUAUUAGGCUAGAGUAUAGUAGGGGUAAAGGGAAUUUCCAGUGGAGCGGUGAAAUGCGUAGAGAUUGGAAAGAACACCGAUGGCGAAGGCACUUUACUGGGCCAUUACUGACACUGAGAGACGAAAGCUAGGGGAGCAAAUGGG